CAACACUUUGGAUGGCUAUUACAGAAUCAGGUGGGUACAUUAUUACCAAAGUGCAUGUUAUCUCGACUUUUUGUUUCAACGGGUCGAUACUGUGGACUUGUGGUCAAUUGUACAUUUUUCAAUAUGCAUACAAUGACAGGAUGGGGGUGUUGGUACAGUUUCAGUACAGAACUGACUCAAAUCCAUUCAUUUCCAAUCAAUUAUAUUCCUCACCUCUGACCUCUUUAUUAUUUUUAUAAAAACAUUUUUAUGUGUGCGUAUGUGUGUGUGCGCGUGUCAUGUGUCCUUAGGUAACCUUUACUGGUGAUUUGUAUUCAUCACAGGGAAGGUGUUGCUGUAUUGAUAGUGUCAACACGAACGUGAGCUUAUUUGUCAUUCUUUGCACACACACACAUGUUGCGCACACACUGUACACUCGUACACAAUACCUAAGGGAGAUAGCCGAGGCUUGAAGGAGAGGGAAUCCAAUCUUGCCCAGCAGCUCAGAGCUUUGUAGGGAAGCAUGCGGAGGCCCAGCGGUUGCCGAGCUCGCCGGCUGCCCUAUUUCUUUAAAGCUCUCCUCCUCUGUUACCUGAUUUAUCGCUGGGCCAGCCACCAGGGAAAUGUCUUAUUUUAAAGCAGAAAGAGCUUACCCAGGGUUGUGUCUGUUGCUAAAAUCUGAGAUGAGAGGCAGAUGAGAUGAGAGGGAUGUUAAUAAUCACAGCGAACACCAGCAUUACAAAGAGCAGCAUGUCAGUCUCUGCUCCACCGUCAGCUCCAGAAGUGACAUUUGAAGCGUUGAAGAGAUAUAAAAAAGUUGGUUGGAUUGCACAGUGUCCCAUUUAUUUCUGCUAAUAUUUAAAAGCAUAGUGAAAAGAAAAAUGGCCACAGCUUUGGCAAGCGUUUUACCCUGAAAAUACCUUCAUCAGGAGGCGUCUGGUGUGGCAGAAUUAGAAGCUUUUAUGAUGCCCGUGAUUAGAAUUGGAGAACAUUUGGACUCUUUUGAAAGUGGCCUUCAGACUGAGGCUUGAGCCAUGCUUCAGGUGAGUUGACAGCUGUAAAAAGCAAGGCACGAUCGCAGACUGCCACAGUUAAAGAAAAUAGACUUUGACUCUUCGGGCUGCUGUUAAAUUGAGACUUUGAUUUUGCUUUACACUGUAAUAAAACAUGGAAGAUGAAUGAGAGUUGUGCGAGGGCUGGAGGUGUGAACGCCGCUCGGAUAUUAGUUUGGGCUCUGUCGGAGCCCGAGCAUAAGUCUCCAUCUCUGUCUGUGCCUCUGUCUCUCUCCGUUUUGACAUGGUGCCAGUGUUUUGGCUGGGGCUCGCCCCGACUUAACCGUCAGACAGAUCGAGUUGUAAAGAUGUCUGGACCGUGGAUGGGCAAGCGCCCAAAUGCACAAACACAUCAUCACUCCUCCAACACCCACGCUAUAGCUUGCCGGCCCAAAUAGGUGGGACAUACAGAGGAAUACCUGCAGGUGCGUGGCGCGCCGGGCCUCUGACUCGCCAAAAUGUAUGCAACAGCACUUCCCUUCCCUCCCAAUAAUCCACUGGUUGAGCAGGAUUAUUGGAUGUGAUUACAACUCAUGGUCCACAAGUUUAAGGAUUACAAGUUGCUGUCAGUGGGUAAAUCCGUCCGGUGGCGUCUGGGAUUGAAGACGCAACUUAGCGUCGGCACCGCAGACACGUUAACAUUGAUGAAGUUUGACGGAGGUGGGACGACUGAGUAAACAGUAAAUCAGGAAUUCACAACUAGAAGGAAGACUGUUAAUGAUCUAGCAACUCACAAAACUUUAGAGAUGAUUGCUAGAUUCUCAUGCCAGAGUAGUAGAGAUCCUCCUUUUACAAUGUAGUAUAUGUUCUGAUGCAACGAAACAAAAGAAUGAAAUGAAUGAUCGUAUUCCGUUCAAUGGAAUGAGCACAGAGUGAUACUUUGGGGUUGUCCCUUAUGUAAUCACUUUAAGUGCAGCUUUUCAUGACUUUCAAAGCAACUGUGUUAACAGCUAUAGUGCAAACAGCAGGAUUAAUGGGAUUACUCGUGUUUUGUGGAAACAGCUUUAUUGGUAUGUACAAUAACAGCGAUUAAACCGCUAGUAUUAGCAGGUUACAUGCGCUCCACUGUUUUAACAGUAGCAGCAGCAGCAGUGGGAGUCGGUAGUUAAGACGCUGGUUGUUGUCUCCUGUCUUUAAGUAGUCAUGAUAUGUCAGUUCAAGAGUGUCUGAAGCUGUGGGGCUCCGCUUGGAUUACUAAAAAAGGCCCUGAUGCUCGUGGCUGUUGUGGUUCUGAGCUCGGAGGAGCAACAGGCUGGCCGUACUGGCAGUAGAAGUAGUAGCUGGUACUGGCAGUAAAAAAAAAAAAAAAAAAAAAUCAUGUGAUGGUUAAGCAGAUUUGUUGGUUUUAAAGAGUUGGACACACAAACUGUUUAUAGUCUCAACAGAAUGACAGUUGGUUUAUCUCCACUGUCGACUCUACUGCACACACAAGGGCACAGCAACGGUCUGUGUGUGUGUGUGUGUGUGUGUGUGUGUGUGUAUGUGUGUGUGUGUGUCCUAUUGUCCCUGUGUUCACUUACACCAUGCCAUGGAAAUUUCCUUUAACCUUUUCUCUCAUUUACACCAGUGCCCUUGAGAGUUCACACACACACACACACACGUUCAAAUAUGCCAACAUGGCAUAUAGCUGUGGCAACCAGGUGCCAAGGGGAGGCGUGCGCAGGACGCUCGCUGCAGUUAUCUAGAAACACGCCCAGUACAAUGUUAUUCGAUAUGGUUCAAUGCAGCAGAGCACAAACUCACACUAAGCAUUUCUCUUCUUCCAUUACUCCACUUUGAAAGUCAUUUGUUGUUAUUUUUAGAUAUUCUUGCUUUCUCUGGUUCCAAAAAAAAAAAAAAAAAAA